rnacentral:rRNA from 1 species
GACGAACGCUGGCGGCGUGCUUAACACAUGCAAGUCGAACGGUAAGGCCCUUCGGGGUACACGAGUGGCGAACGGGUGAGUAAUACGUGGGUGAUCUGCCCUGCACUUCGGGAUAAGCCUGGGAAACUGGGUCUAAUACCGGAUAGGACCACUGCCUGCAUGGGUGGUGGUGGAAAGCUUUUGCGGUGUGGGAUGGGCCCGCGGCCUAGCAGCUUGUUGGUGGGGUGAUGGCCUACCAAGGCGACGACGGGUAGCCGGCCUGAGAGGGUGACCGGCCACACUGGGACUGAGAUACGGCCCAGACUCCUACGGGAGGCAGCAGUGGGGAAUAUUGCACAAUGGGCGCAAGCCUGAUGCAGCGACGCCGCGUGAGGGAUGACGGCCUUCGGGUUGUAACCUAUUUCAGCACCGACGAAGCGCAAGUGACGGUAGGUGCAGAAGAAGGACCGGCCAACUACGUGCCAGCCGCCGCCGUAA